AAUGGGCGCAAGCCUGAUCCAGCAAUGCCGCGUGAGUGAUGAAGGCCUUAGGGUUGUAAAGCUCUUUUACCCGGGAUGAUAAUGACAGUACCGGGAGAAUAAGCUCCGGCUAACUCCGUGCCAGCAGCCGCGGUAAU
rnacentral:rRNA from 1 species